rnacentral:sRNA from 1 species
UUUUUUAACUGGUAUGCAAUACAUUAUCAUAGCAUUAUGUAGCCAAAACCCAAUUACAUGGAUUUAUCGCCUAUUAAUUUUGUUUAUGUGAAAAUCCGUCCAGUUGUGUUUCACACUGUGAUAAAAUAUAUAGGGAGGGCUGUUUAGACUCCCUAAAGCCUAACGAUUUAUUUAUAGAACGUUGGUUUUCCUCGACGGUGAUGCAUUAAGUAUUUGUUUAUACCCUUGUUGAUAUUUUAUAUAUUUAGAAUAUUGAAAGUAUGUAUAUUUUUUUCUGUAUUUUUCAUGCCUAUGUGUCAAAAGUUUUACAAGCUACCUAUUUCAAUUAAAAUUGAAUGUUGUUGAAGAGGC